CCACCAGCUGGAGCUGGCGAGUAAGAAAUAAGAGAAGAAGAAGAACUCUUCCUCUAUGUUGUUACCUGCUGGCUGCAGCAAGAAGAGAACUUGCCUGAGAACAGGUGUAGGCAGACUUGAGAGUCGGACGAUAUGCUGGUUUUGUUUUGAUAUGUGGCGUCAGUGGAUGACAUCUGGGAAGAAGAGGAACAUUAUACCGACCAAGUGAGAGAACAUCUUCUCUGUGCUGAAGCUCUGAGAAAAGAUACAAGGUGUUGGGGGAUGAGCAGCAGACUGGGUUUAGACAACGACAUCAAGAAAACGCUGGAAAAGCAGCUGGAGAACCACAUGGAGGCUAAUCAGAAGCAGCUCAGCCGUCUCCGAGACGAGAUCGAUGCUGGACGAACUCACAGAAUAAGAAAACCCCAGCAAAGCAAAAUAUUCUCAAUACUCUGAUUAUUGUUUCAGAUUUCUUUUAUUUGUUUCUUAAAGAUAUUUAUUUGUCAUUUUAGCCUUUUUUAUUGAUAGUAGAUGGUGUAGAAUGGGAAUUACAUAGUAUAUGUCAAAACCACUUGACUGCUUUGUUUAUUUUUGAUUUUAAUUUUAUUAUUUGUUACCUUUGUUACUAAAUUAAUGGACUGACAGACAAUGAAGGUCUCCGUUAAAUCAUUGUAAGUCAUUUUAUGACCUAAAGGGCCAUAAAUGUAAUUAAAUAUAAGUCAAUAUUUAACUCCUUGUCAUCAUUACACACGGCACAUUGUGAUUACAUGAUCAGAUUAUCAAUGUAUGACCCAGUAUACCUACCUGUAUUUUGUGUUGUAUAAGGUUUUUGAUUUAUCUUCCAUGAAAAACGAAUGCAAAAAGUUAUUGGAGCUGGAGUGACGUUAUAUGUUUUGCAAAUGUUGAUGUAAUUGUCUCU